rnacentral:rRNA from 1 species
AGUGAACGCUGGCGGUAGGCCUAACACAUGCAAGUCGAACGGCAGCACAGGAGAGCUUGCUCUCUGGGUGGCGAGUGGCGGACGGGUGAGGAAUACAUCGGAAUCUACUCUGUCGUGGGAGAUAACGUAGGGAAACUUACGCUAAUACCGCAUACGACCUACGGGUGAAAGCAGGGGAUCUUCGGACCUUGCGCGAUUGAAUGAGCCGAUGUCGGAUUAGCUAGUUGGCGGGGUAAAGGCCCACCAAGGCGACGAUCCGUAGCUGGUCUGAGAGGAUGAUCAGCCACACUGGAACGGAGACACGGUCCAGACUCCUACGGGAGGCAGCAGUGGGGAAUAUUGGACAAUGGGCGCAAGCCUGAUCCAGCCAUACCGCGUGGGUGAAGAAGGCCUUCGGGUUGUAAAGCCCUUUUGUUGGGAAAGAAAUCCAGCUGGCUAAUACCCGGUUGGGAUGACGGUACCCAAAGAAUAAGCACCGGCUAACUUCGUGCCAGCCGCCGCGGUAA